ACUUUCAACAACGGAUCUCUUGGCUCUCGCAUCGAUGAAGAACGCAGCGAAAUGCGAUAAGUAAUGUGAAUUGCAGAAUUCAGUGAAUCAUCGAAUCUUUGAACGCACCUUGCGCCCCUUGGUAUUCCGAGGGGCAUGCCUGUUUGAGUGUCAUUAAA
rnacentral:rRNA from 1 species